rnacentral:rRNA from 1 species
UACGGAGGAUCCAAGCGUUAUCCGGAUUCAUUGGGUUUAAAGGGUGCGUAGGCGGACUGGUAAGUCAGCGGUGAAAUCCCACAGCUCAACUGUGGAACUGCCGUUGAUACUGUCAGUCUUGAGUACAGAUGAUGUGGGCGGAAUAUGACAUGUAGUGGUGAAAUACUUAGAUAUGUCAUAGAACACCAAUUGCGAAGGCAGCUCACAAAACUGUUACUGACGCUGAGGCACGAAAGCGUGGGGAUCAAACAGG